rnacentral:rRNA from 1 species
CCCAGACUCCUACGGGAGGCAGCAGUGGGGAAUAUUGCACAAUGGGGGAAACCCUGAUGCAGCAACGCCGCGUGAGUGAAGAAGUCAUUCGUGAUGUAAAGCUCUAUCAGCAGGGAAGAAAAUGACGGUACCUGAGUAAGAAGCCCCGGCUAACUACGUGCCAGCAGCCGCGGUAAUACGUAGGGGGCAAGCGUUAUCCGGAUUUACUGGGUGUAAAGGGAGCGUAGACGGCUAAGCAAGUCUGAAGUGAAAGCCCGGGGCUUAACCCCGGGACUGCUUUGGAAACUGUUAAGCUAGAGUGCUGGAGAGGUAAGUGGAAUUCCUAGUGUAGCGGUGAAAUGCGUAGAUAUUGGGAGGAACACCAGUGGCGAAGGCGGCUUACUGGACAGUAACUGACGUUGAGGCUCGAAAGCGUGGGGAGCAAACAGGAUUAGAUACCCCUGUA